rnacentral:tRNA from 1 species
CCUUCGAUAGCUCAGUUGGUAGAGCGGUGGACUGUAGAAGUGUAAGCGUUGUAGAGUAAUCCAUAGGUCGCUGGUUCAAAUCCGGCUCGAAGGA